GCAGGGUGGAUAUGAUCACUUGAUUGGUACAUCAGAGCAUGGACUAGUUGUUAACUCAUCACAGCUUAAUUUACCUGCAUUUAGGCAUUAUUAAUUGCUUUUGGUGGAACUUGGGGGGAGAAGAGUGUAGAUGAAGAUCAUAAAUUAAAGGGAAAAAUGUCCGCGACAUAUUCGACUUGUAUUUGAACACGUGUCCGCAUCAAGGAAGUCGAACAAUUCGAACAGAGGAAGCAAUCUUGAUAUCACUCCAAUAUUUACAAGAACCAAUAACUCGAGCAAUGCAAAGAGAUGCGAGCUGAAGAUAACUUGGGAGUAUCAGAUAUGUUGAACCAUAGGAUUGAUUUCUUCACGUAG